CCAGGAAAGUGAGACCCUCAAUGGGGAAUCAAUGGAGAAAGGCCGCCGGCGAAUGAAGGACAACUUUGAGCAAUAUAGAAGGAAGAGGGCCCUGCGCCGCGUCCAUAAGGCCCGCUAUCACGAGGUGGACUGGGAGAACUCCUCCGGCUCCUGACCCCAAAGGACACCAUUCGAUCCCUCCUGACAGAUGGCCAGCUGGAAUAUUUUCGAGCCUGCUCUACAGAUUGGGAUAUAUUUAUAUAUGUAUAUAUUUAAUGUAUGUUUUGUACUCCAAGAGGCAAUGUCUCAUGGGAACAAGUAAUUCUUUGUAAUUAUUAAUGAUUCAUAUAAUAAUCCUCUUCCUAAA